rfam:Pyrenophora tritici-repentis Pt-1C-BFP supercont1.4 genomic scaffold, whole genome shotgun sequence.
AACUUCCUGGCGCAAUGGUAGCGCAUCACGCUUUUUAAAGUGUUGCCGACUUGUUCGGUAUUGUCUGUCGGCAGUCGUAUUGUCGGGGUGCACUGGGAACGUGAAGGCUAUGAGUUCGAAUCUCAUGGGAGUUA